rnacentral:lncRNA from 1 species
AGACCUUAUUCAUAAAUCGUGACGAGGCCUCGUAUCCUAGGAUACGGGAACAAAACGCGGGAAAACAAGCGAAAACUGCUUGACAAGCCAAAUUCAGAUGCUAUUGUGUCGACUUUAACCGCUUGUUUCUUGUUGCUUUUUGCGAUUUAUAACGAUUUUUGUGUGUAUUUUAAGACUUUGUGCCUACAACGAAAGCGGUAAACGAGUAUAUUAUAAAAGCGACCGGUUUUUCUCCCGUUUUUGUGUGGAAAAAAUGACAACGUAGCGAUGGUGUUUAUCCAGAAGCGAAAAACAGUAUUUUACUGAGAUUUUAACGUCAAUAUAAAGGUUUAUUCUGUGAAGCUAGAAUCAAGACAACUAUGGAAUGGAAGUAUAAUUUUUCGAAUUUGACAUAAAUAUGAAAGAAAAUAACAGUCAAAAAUCACAAGAGAACGUCAAAUGUUAUUGAUUCGUACGGGAAAAUAUGAACUAUGGCUGUGGCUCGAUAACAAUCUGCAAGCAGCUUACAAGUUUAAAAAAUGAAGGCUACAUUACCUGAGUGAGUUGUAAUCUUAUUUCUUCAACAAUUGUUUCAUAUUUCUUACGAUUUUGGUAUUGCAUAGACGUUUUGUAGCCUUGUUGGUUGUUUGUUUCGGCCAUACAAACUACGACAAUAAUACAAAGUCAAAGGUUUCCUUUUUCGAUUGACUCCAGGAUCUUUUGCUUCAAAUAUCAUGUAAUAUUUUCUCAGAAGUAUUUUUUCAACUUUCAAGCUCAGUUUUAUAGAUAUUAUUUUCGAAAAAAGCCGUAAAUAUUCACGAAAAAAAGCUGCCAUAGCCGACAGCAAAAAAAAACAUUUUGUCAAUUUUCCCGCGUUUUCCCCCGUUUCCUAGGAUACGAGGCCUCAUCACGAUUUAUGAAUAAGGUCUAUAGGUAAUGUUUAAGUGCUUUUCAAUUGCGAUAGUCGCUCAGAACAAAAUAAUUGCCUUUUUAUCACAC